UUUCGCGAUCGGGUCGUGGUCCAACAACUUUUUAAGCAUACCCAAGUUUCACGUGCGAUCUUCAGGUACGCCAAUUGCGUGAACUAUUAGUGGAAGUUGUUUUUGUUUUUUCAUCUGCUUCUUCCACCCAAAUCAUGGUGGUAUUAUUAGGAUAAUUGGCGGUCCGUGGAAUUGAAACUUUGACCGUCACACGGAAUUAAUCGUCGUCGUCGCCGGCGGGUUUUUGAAAAGUUUUGCGUGGGUUGGGGAAAUUGGUGGGGCUUCGACAGGUGGUUCGAAAGUUUGGCGGUUGAUGGCAGAGUGGCUGCAGUUUGCUCGAGUGCCAAGAGUUAACGCAUUUGGAUGAAGUCAUAUGACGGAAUUACCUAGGUAGAAGAAGAAGAAAAAAGUGUCCAAGUCGGUGUUCAUGUCCAAGUUGUGAAGAGCAAAUAAUACAAAAGAAGUGCGCGAUCCAAGAA